rnacentral:rRNA from 1 species
CCCUUAGAUGUUCUGGGCUGCACGCGUGCUACACUGAUUCCUUCAACAAGUGUUUUAACUGGAGAGUUCGCGUAAUCCUGAAAUGUUAUCGUGAUGGGAGUAGAGUAUUGUAUUUGUUAAUCUUUAACGAGGAAUUCCUAGUAAGUGUAGGUUUAUAAGUUGUUCUGAUUACGUCCCUGCCCUUUGUACACACCGCCCGUCGCUCCUACCGAUUGAUUGAUCCGGUGAAUUACAUAGAAUUUUGCGUUUUACAUGACGGAAGAUGAAGUGUUUUAAACCUUAUCAUUUAGAGGAAGGAGAAGUCGUAACA